UACGUAGGGGGCAAGCGUUGUCCGGAUUUAUUGGGCGUAAAGAGCGUGUAGGCGGCCAGAUAGGUCCGUUGUGAAAACUGGAGGCUUAACCUCCAGCUGUCGAUGGAAACCAUUUGGCUAGAGUCCGGAAGAGGAGAGUGGAAUUCCUGGUGUAGCGGUGAAAUGCGCAGAUAUCAGGAAGAACACCCGUGGCGAAGGCGGCUCUCUGGGACGGUACUGACGCUGAGACGCGAAAGCGUGGGGAGCGAACAGG
rnacentral:rRNA from 1 species